GCCAGGGAUGUGGCUCAGAGGUAGAGCACCUGCCUUGCAUGCGUGAGGUCCUGGGUUCAAUCCCCAGCCCCACCCCCGACA